UUCACAGUGCUGGCAAGGAAC
rnacentral:piRNA from 1 species